GAUGGACCAAGGGUCUGAAUCGACAUAACCUUCCUAGGUUUCUCUGUUCCUGUGACCUUGCCUGUUCUCUCCAGAGCCUGAUCUGAAUCCUUCUACUUUGCUUUGGAACAAGGGUGAGAUUGACAACAGCAAAAGGCUUGAAGAUCCUUGAAAGAUACCCAGACAUAGGAGGAAGACUCCAAAAAAGGUCAACCAAGCAGGUAUCUCUGCAAACAUCCAGGAUGGGCACUUUGUAUUAAAGGUGGAAAGAGAACACUAGUUCCCUGGAAUCAAAAUUCUGCACUGCACAUCAAAUAUAGGGUUGACUUUUGCACACAUUGGAUUGUAAAGUAUAAUGGAACUCUGGUGCUUAAGUGGUCCUUGGGGGAAUCAGAGUGUUGGCAGUAGGCAUGCUGAAACUGUCAGGACUUCUUAGUUUAGAAGAAGAUGAACUAAUGAUGGAGGUCUAUAAAAUUAUGAACAGGGUGGAGAGUGUAAAUAGGAAGACUCUCUAGCCCUAUUCACACAUUGCGUUCUAUGUAUGUACAGUCUGUGUACAGUGUAUGCAUGUACAGAUUUGCACACACAUACACUAAUUCAUGUUAUAUUGUACACACAUUUAGUAUAUUUCCUAUCUGUA